UUUACUAUUGGAGCGGUUAGUGGCGGACUGGUGAGUAACACGUAAGCAACCUGCCUUUCAGUGGGGGACAACAGUUGGAAACGACUGCUAAUACCGCAUGACACUUUUGGGAGACAUCUCCUGGAAGUCAAAGCUUUAUGUGCUGAAAGAUGGCCUCGCGUCUGAUUAGCUAGUUGGUGAGGUAACGGCUCACCAAGGCGACGAUCAGUAGCCGGUCUGAGAGGAUGAACGGCCACAUUGGGACUGAGAUACGGCCCAGACUCC
rnacentral:rRNA from 1 species